rnacentral:sRNA from 1 species
GCUGGGCAUUGGUGGUGCAUGCCUGUAAUCCUAGCUACUCAGAAGGCUGAGGCAGGAGGAUUGCAAGUUUGCAGCUAGCCUCCAUAACAUAGUGAGACCCUUUCUCAA